rnacentral:lncRNA from 1 species
AAAGUACCUUACCUCCUUUAGGAAGCCCUGGUCUUCCUUGGUCUGAGGAACUUUCUGAUCUCUUCGGUUCAGCUUUCGCCCUCCCCUGCGCGUACCUUAGGGGUCUGGGAACCUAACCACAGUCAGCAUCCCAGCUUCUUGACACCUAAUCCUUCAGCGCUCAGAGAGCCAAAAUCAGCAACCACUAAAAUGAGGGAAAUGAGAAUAAAACUUGGACUCUCCCUCAGGUUCAGUGGAUCCUCCAAGCACCUCUUUUCCAGCGCUGGCCAAGGACCCAGGGAGGAAGCGGGCCUACAGACCUCCACUGACAGACAAGGGUGACUCAGACCAUGGGCCUCACACUUCACAAUGCAAACUUUGUAUGAAGCACAAAACAGCA